UACGUAGGGUGCGAGCGUUAAUCGGAAUUACUGGGCGUAAAGCGUGCGCAGGCGGUUUUGUAAGCCAGAUGUGAAAUCCCCGGGCUUAACCUGGGAAUGGCAUUUGGGACUGCAAGGCUGGAGUGUGGCAGAGGAGACUGGAAUUCCCGGUGUAGCAGUGAAAUGCGUAGAUAUCGGGAGGAAUACCGAUGGCGAAGGCAGGUCUCUGGCUGGACACUGACGCUCAUGCACGAAAGCGUGGGAGCAAACAGG
rnacentral:rRNA from 1 species